UACGUAGGGGGCUAGCGUUGUCCGGAUUUAUUGGGCGUAAAGAGCGUGUAGGCGGCCAGGUAGGUCUGCUGUGAAAACUCGAGGCUCAACCUCGAGACGUCGGCGGAAACCCUCCAGCUAGAGUCCGGAAGAGGAGAGUGGAAUUCCUGGUGUAGCGGUGAAAUGCGCAGAUAUCAGGAAGAACACCCGUGGCGAAAGCGGCUCUCUGGGACGGUACUGACGCUGAGACGCGAAAGCGUGGGGAGCGAACAGG
rnacentral:rRNA from 1 species